UACAGAGGUCCCAAGCGUUGUUCGGAUUCACUGGGCGUAAAGGGUGCGUAGGUGGUUGCGCAAGUCUGAUGUGAAAUCUCCGGGCUCAACCCGGAAAUGGCAUUGGAAACUGCGUGGCUAGAGGGUUGGAGGGGGGACUGGAAUACUUGGUGUAGCAGCGAAAUGCGUAGAUAUCAAGUGGAACACCAGUGGCGAAGGCGAGUCCCUGGACAACAACUGACACUGAGGCACGAAAGCUAGGGGAGCAAACAGG
rnacentral:rRNA from 1 species